GAUGAACGCUGGCGGCGUGCCUAAUACAUGCAAGUAGAACGCUGAAGCUUGGUGCUUGCACCGAGCGGAUGAGUUGCGAACGGGUGAGUAACGCGUAGGUAACCUGCCUGGUAGCGGGGGAUAACUAUUGGAAACGAUAGCUAAUACCGCAUAACAGUAGAUAUUGCAUGAUAUCUGCUUGAAAGGUGCAAAUGCAUCACUACCAGAUGGACCUGCGUUGUAUUAGCUAGUUGGUGAGGUAACGGCUCACCAAGGCGACGAUACAUAGCCGACCUGAGAGGGUGAUCGGCCACACUGGGACUGAGACACGGCCCAGACUCCUACGGGAGGCAGCAGUAGGGAAUCUUCGGCAAUGGGGGGAACCCUGACCGAGCAACGCCGCGUGAGUGAAGAAGGUUUUCGGAUCGUAAAGCUCUGUUGUAAGAGAAGAACGAGUGUGAGAGUGGAAAGUUCACACUGUGACGGUAUCUUAUCAGAAAGGGACGGCUAACUACGUG
rnacentral:rRNA from 1 species